GGCGAACGGGUGAUUAACACNUAGGUGAUCUGUCCCCGGGUGGGGUAUAGCCCAUGGAAACAUGGGGUAAUACCGCAUGAGGUCCUGGAGCUUGAAGGCUUCUGGAUGAAAGGCGCAAUUGUGUUGCCUGGGGAUGAGCCUGCGGCUCAUUAGCUAGUUGGCGGGGUAAGGGCCCACCAAGGCGACGAUGGGUAGCCGGCCUGAGAGGGUGUACGGCCACUCUGGGACUGAGACACGGCCCAGACUCCUACGGGAGGCAGCAGCUAAGAAUCUUCCGCAAUGGGGGAAACCCUGACGGAGCGACGCCGCGUGGACGAAGAAGGCC
rnacentral:rRNA from 1 species